CAUCCCCUUCCCUACUGACACUGGGCUCCAGGGCCUGACUGUUGACCAGCGGGAUGGCAGUGGACAAGAUGCACACAGAGCUCACGUGGCUGGCUUGGUUCUUGAGUUCCCAGUGACAGAUGCCUGGAGAAAAGCAGGCCUCAGGCAGCCACUGCUCCUUCAGCCUGGGCUUCAGAAUGAACACACGAGGGACAGGCCUGGGCCCAGCCUGGUCUGGAGGAAGCUCUCCUGGAACGCAGCUGCAGCAGAGUGGUGGGUGGAGCCCGCUCUAACCAGCAGAGCUCGGACCCGCCUGCAGGCUCGCGCCCAUCCAACCGGGAUUCUGAGACCUGAUCCACCCUCAUCCUGCAAGGUCCGUCAAGAAUGAGGACCAGCUUUCCUGGGGUCCCCUCCAGGUGGGAAGAAGCCGUCUCCAAUAUGCUGUCUGCCUGGAAAGUGCCCCCGUGCUGAGCCCAGCAUCCUGAGGCCAAAGGCUGUUUUAUUCCUCUCUGUACCACGAGCUCCUGGCACAUAUCUGCUCUCCACAGAGGCUUGCCACACCGACCCAGGGAGGCUGAGCGGAGCCGUUCUCCAGCAGUGAGAGUGUGUGGCUGCGUCCCAUGUUAGAGUCGUCUGUGAGGAGCAGGCAUGGGAAUGGCCCACACCAUGAGGCCUCCCUCCGAAACGGUUGCCUUGACCCAAUUCACCAGGCCAGAGGUCACCCUGGGGUUUGGGCAGGAGGUGUAUCAGUCAGUCCUGUUAACUGCUGUGACAAGCAGUCCCCACCUCCUGCAACAUAGCACACCACAUGCACGCUUGCUCUCUUCUCACAGUGUCCUUCACAAGACAGGCUCAGCCGCUCCUCCUUCUGUGACAGUGUCCUCUCCAAGAUGGGGAUGUGGACCCUCAUCCUGGAAGAGACACCACACUUUUUCAAUUCCACUCCUUUGGCUAGAACCAGACACGUAGUUCCGUCCUCAUGCAGUGGGGGUGGAGUGUGAUAUGGUUUGGCUGUGUCCCCACCCAAAUCUCAUCUUGAAUUAUAGCUCCCAUAAUUCCCAUGUGUUGUGGGAGGAAACUGGUGGGAGAUAAUUGAAUCAUGGGGGUGGUUCCCCCAUACUGUUCUCAUGGUAGAGAGUAAGUCUGAUGAGAUGCGAUGGUUUUAUGAGGGGAAACCUCUUUUGCUUGGCUCUCAUUCUCUCUCUCUCUCUCUUUUUUUUUUUUUUUGAGAUGGAGUUUUGCUCUUGUUGCCCAGGCUGGAGUGCAAUGGCAUGAUCUCACUGCAACCUCUGCCUCCUGGUUUCAAGCGAUUCUCCCGCCUCAGCCUCCGGAGUAGCUGGGAUUAUAGGUGUCUGCCACCACACCGGCUAAUUUUUUGUAUUUUUAGUAGAGACGGGCUUUCACCAUGUUGACCAGGCUGGUCUCGAACUCCCAACCUCAGGUGAUUUACCCAUCUCAGCCUCCCAAAGUGCUGGGAUUACAGGCAUGAGCCACCACACCCAGCCUCAUUCUCUCUUUUCUGCCACCAUGUAAAACGUGUUUGUGACCCUCCACCAUGAUUGUGAUGCCUCCCUAGCUACGUGGAACUUUGAGUCUAUUAAACUUAUUUUUCUUUAUAAAGUACCCAGCCUUGGCUAUGUCUUUAUCAGCAGCAUGAAAACGGACUAAUAUGGGUGGGGAGUGCAGUUCCCCCUGGUUACCCACCUUGGGGGCCAGGGAGCCCCAUGUCUGUUGGGGCCAGCUUGUUGUCCCUGUCACAGGGGUUUGGGACCAACUAUGUGGCUUUGUGCACAUGACCUGCUAGCUCUGUGCCCCGAAUUUCCUGGCCUUUAAAUGGACACGAUACACCUCCUGUGGAGAUUAACACGCUGUCAUCAGUAAAGAGCCUCUCGCGGCCAGGCACCUGUUACCUGUUCAGCCUUUGGUAGUUACUCUGAGUCUACAGUGAUGAGAGCUCCCGGGGAUGUAAUUUGGAUAAAGCAGCAGCAAUGGCCCCCUGCACUGCUGACCCUCCAGUCCCUUGUCCUGGAGAAAGCUUCCUUUUACUACCAUUCAUUUUUUCUUUUUCUUUUUUUUUUUGAGAUGGAGUCUUGCUCCGUCACCCAGGCUGGAGUGUAGUGGCACAAUCUCAGCUCACUGCAAC
rnacentral:lncRNA from 1 species